rnacentral:lncRNA from 1 species
AAAUUUUUUUUAAUGCUAAUUUAUUACAAAUAACGUAGAGAUUUUAUAUAAUAAAUGUUAUACAAUAAUAUCUCGAGAAAAAAUAAACAUUAAUAUUUCUAUCAAUACAGAAUAACGAUACUGAUACCUCUUAAGGAUCAGUUACGGAAUCGCUACAGACCAGAUAAAUCGUAACGCACAUCCCUAGGUCUCCAUUGUAAACAUACUGCUGUGCGAUGGAAGUGUCAAAUACAAAGCAAUCAGAAUUCAAAAUCGUGGACGAUACACCCUCAUGAAUAGAACGUGAUAUACCUUCAUAUGUGUGGCAUGUUGUAAGCCCAAUUAGCUCUAAUCUGUUGGACGCAACAGUUGAAUUAAAAUAAAAGAUAUUUAUACACAAGAGGAAAGAGUGAAAAAUUAUUAACCCUCUGUCUGCAAUCUAGAUCUUUCUUUAGCAAAGCAAAAUGUCAACUUUUAUAUAAAAGUUUUAACAUUUGAAUUAAAACUUGGUAAUAAAGAGAUUGAAAAGAAAUCUUGAGCUUUUCUAAAUUAUUCAAAAACCAAAAACAGUGAAAAAAAUAUAACUACAGAAAAGACCCAGCUUUACAGAUAAAGAAAGUAAAAAUAUGCAGACGAAAGGCUAAUAAUUUGCUUAAAUUAAAAAAAAUACUUUUAGGCAAAUAACACAACUACAUAUUUAAAUUAACCUGUAAGCAAAGUGUUUUGCUCGCUUCCUAGAGCCAAUCAAUUGUACCAUCGCAAAGAACUGUUCAGACCCAUCAGAUUUCUCCUGUUUCUCGAGCACCAGCAUAAAAUGAUGGCCAAAACAAGAUUGUAUCAUGAUCCAGUCCCUGGUUCCAGGAAAAUUAAUGUUGCUUGCCAAAAAAAUAAUUUCAUCGCCUAGAGAAAAUUACACAGAGGACAAUAUAAGUAUAAAGAAAUAAACUACAACUGCGAUUAAACAGCAAAAAUUCAAUACCUCGUAAUGUAAUUCUUUUGUGACUUGUAACAAGGUGUGGCAUCACUUGUUCCAGCGAUCCUUGCCAUUUGCAGGACACGCCUGGACAGGGACAGCUGUAUGGACAGAACUCACACGCAUUUUCAUGAUCUUCCUUUUCCGUGUGCACCAGGACAACUGUGCAACCACUGGUGGAAUAUUUGCAUGGAAACAUGACAUUACUUAUCAUCUUUUCCAUAGCCAAAUUACGGAUGUUACCUACGUUGACCAAAUGUUAUCUGGUUAAAUGCAAUCUCAACAGCAAAGAAAAAUAAAUUUCUUGAGAAAAUCUGAACGUACCCAGUGGACCCCUGCAUGUGGGGCAGCAGGAGAGCUUCGGUAUACAAUUUGUGCAGACUAGAUGUCCACUCUGACACUGCAGAAUAGGUGGAAGCGCAUAAUCGUGGCAAACGGGACAUUCGAAGAGGCUUGCUAAGUCGGUGGAACUGCUCAGGGCGGACACGGUCGACGCGGAAGUGCUUGCGACUCCUUGUCCUCGCUUGUCCGUAUUGAUGUUUAGUUGAGACAUUUUGUUCUUUAGAUUAUGUAUUGAAGAUUGUCACACACACUCUGAUCCGAACGAUAAUCUGUUUUUCAAACUGUCUCAGCGAUGCAUUUCUGUUGGUAGCUAGCUUCUAGCUAAUUCACUUCUCUGCAAACUUGCAAUGUUCAUAUAAGAUAUAACGUAUAUAUAAGAUAUUGCAUCGACUCGACAUCUCGUUUAAUUUUGAAGUACUCGCAAAAACGAAAUUAUAUAUGUUAAUACAUGCUUUUCUUCUCUUUUUGUCUACAGGUAUUUAUCUCUUUUUCUUAUAAAUGUACAUGGAAUAAACUACAAAUUUUGCCUGGCUACUUUUAAGUUUUUAAUCUUAAUAAUUAAACAGUAAAAAACUUUCUAUUAAAAUAGAAUAUUAAUGUAUCACUAUUAAUGUGAAGUACAAAAGCUCUAGAUAUUUUUUUUAAACUGCAAUCUCUGUAUAUAUAUUUUUUUAUGCGCUCUAUCAUUGUAAUUAAAAAAAGUUAUGAGAUACGAUUCUGUGAGUUAUGCCAAAAUUUUGUCUGUACAAUUAUCUAAAGACCUUAAUUUAGAGUAGUCUAAAAAUUUUGUAUUAUUACACAAAUUUUUAAAUUGUCCAAGGUUUAAUAAACUCCACACAUCUAAUUGUGCUUUUUUCGAUCUUUGUUCUAAGCUCUAAACAUUGCAGUUGAGAUCUACAGGUCUAGUUCUGAGAUAAUUAAAAGUUAAACCGAGGUGAAUCUCAUCUCGGAUUAAAUUUUAUUUUAAUCUGCAUUAGAAUUUAGAGCUCAAAACAAAAAAAUAAAGAAAACAACAUCACGCAUAUCUAGAACCUAAACCUAAACCUAAACAAUUGACGAUAAUCACCAACUGGUAUUAUGCAAAACAAGCCGCGACAUGCGGUUUUUUCCCUUCUUACAACUUUACGCGUUGUGAAAAGAAGAAACAGGAAUUUGCCGCGCUCGUCAUCAGAAACUUACCGAUUGCGUGGGCGAUUAGCAAGCCUCAAGGACAAAUACACGCAGUGACGAUCGUCUGCGUUCAAAGCAGCUUUGCAACUGUUGUAAAAUUCUUCAACACGAUUGAUUCUUGCUCUUGGUUCCUGUUAGAUCACGGCAUCGAUCAUGUAAUUUCACGUGAAACUUUCCACUUUUCAUUUUCCGCUCAGUCUCAUUUCACGUGAACUUUUUCAGGAACCUAAAUAUGAAUACCGGCCUUGGCUCACUUUCAGUGCUGGCACUGUUGGCAUUCCUCUUCCGUAUAUAAUAGAGUAUAUAUACUUAAAAGAGAAAUCCCACGAUCUAGAAACACUGGCUACCGGGAUUAAUAAUUGAUAAUUUUGUAUUGAUAUAGCAGAAUCUGCGAUCCUUGUUGCUGACUACACUUUGGUUUUGGCAUUCCUUGUACGUUCUCUUUUAUUUGGUACAAAGAAGAUAAGAGUUUUUUAAUAAAGAAAUCCGUAAUAAAAUUUAUUUAGUUUUGCACGCAUAAGAUUAAUUUAACGGGAGCGCCCCGAUUGACCACGUCCCAAUUGACCACAACUUUUCUAAUUGGUGGUUCAACAGAAAAACUCAUAGCAUUCAUUGUUAAAAAUAAUGUGGUCAAUUGUAACGUGAUCAAUCGGGGCGCUUCUAAUUUAACUUAAAUUAGAGUAAAAGUUAAUUUUCAGAAGUUGCAUUUAUGUUAAAUUAAAAAGCUAUAUAAUCUAUUAGAUCAAUGUAAGACAUGAUCUGCACAUUUCGAUCAAAUUCCGAACCCAACGCUUAUUACUUUCCCUAUUGUCAUGAAAUUUCAGUUUGACAAUCAUAACAUAAACACGGCGCGCAUUGCUCUCCCACUAUACAAAAUAACGUAUUAAUAUGUUUCAUUAAUAUUGCUAAUUUAGUAUUUGUUACUACAUAUAUAAACAUUUAAUAACAACAUGUUUGAUAAAUGUUGUUAAAUGACUUAAUUUAAUUUUAUGAGGUACUUAGUGUACAUUACUAUUAAGUUUAGUUUAGCUA